GGCCUGCUCUGUGACAGACACUAGGCUGGUGCUUUGCCUGCCAGGAAGAUGUCUUGUGCUUAAGAUGGAAAAAAAAAAAAAAAAAGAGGGUCAGAAACAAUGAGUAAGCUACCCCAGGUCACAUGGCUGAUGCACUGGAAUUGUGCCCUGGGCCUCUCUGACCUCAAAGCCUUUGGACUUUGCUGGGCUUGUGGUUUUCACCGGCUCUGAGAUAGCCGCUGCUCUCACUUAUUCACUCAACAAAUGCUGGUCUCAGCGACACGCCAGAUGCUGAGAGAGCGCUGGGGUGACAUAAUCACAGCAACUGGUGGCACAGAGCUCACGGCUCUGCCCGGGAGAGAGGAACACGCACAACAUGGGGUGGAAAGUGGCCCAAGGGGAAAACGAACCACAUCCUCCAAAGAGACGGUCUCCGACAGGACCAGGGAUGCUCUCACAGAAGAGGUGGCUCAAAACCCUUUUCCUAUCCAUCUACUCGCGUCUCGUGCCCUCGUCCCUUUUCUCUCCAACGUUGCUUUCAUUUUUCAACUUUUCAAAUUUAUUUUUUAAAGGGUGCCCUGCCAAUUUCUGCCAUACAGCAAGUGACCCAGUCCUACAGAUAUAAUAUACAUCCAUCCUUUUUCUCAUACGAUCUUCAUCGUGUUCUGUCGCAAGGGAUUAGAGUAGUUCCCUGUGUUGUGCAGCAGGACCGCGCUGCUUGUCCUCCAUUGGAACUGGAGUGGUUUGCAUCUACUGGCCCCAGACAGGGUCCAGAAAGAGGGUCCCCGUUCUCGCUUACGUAUCCUUCUGCCUGGAGUGGAGGGACCCUGGACAUGCCCGCCUGUGCCAGCCCAUCCUCACCCGAGCCCCAGGAGGUGGUGCUGUCCUCAUUCCUUACAGCAGCGUAAGCUCGUGCUCAGAGGGGAGGGUCCUGGACUUGCCAAGGUCAUUUGCACCCAGAUCCAGAUGGCCCUCUGCCACCCUGCCUCCCACACUGGAUGGAACUGCGCUGGUCUCUACCCAGUGGGCAUUUUAAUUUAAAGGCGUCCGACCCAUUAGCUUCCCAGUGGGAACAUGAAGCAUUAAACAUCCUUUCAUAUAGUUUCGUUAUCGUCUGGACGCUACAGGGCUGGGGCGUGAAUAGCCUCGCAGUUCACAGGCGCUUGCUCAUCAAGUUGGCCUCACUUUCUUCUGGAGGCUUCUCGCGGUGUUAGCUCUGGCUUCUGGCUGCAUUUGAUUCUGUAACCACUUCCCAGAAUUUGGAAAUGUGUGUGUGUGUGUGUGUGUGUUUGAGGGGGAGAUGAGGAUGCGGCUGGGCUAAAACCGUCAGGCAUGUGAUGAAAUUCACUAACCUGUGUGUUCUCACCAGCCUUGGGAGGGUAAGCAGGCAGAAACCACAAUUAAAUGUGUGUAAAAUUUUCUGGGAAGUUCUAGAGAAUGGAUUUUUAUAAUCCAAGCCAUAUUUUAAAUGCUUCAAGUGGUGGGGAUGUGUUCGAUGUCCACAGUAAAUUAUUUAAUAACCUAAAAAGGAAAUCUAAUUUCCUGCCUUCCCUCUUUCUCCUUUUCUCUCUCUGUCUAGUUUGUUUGUUUUUCAUAGGGCAAAGCUAUUUACAUGCUUUGUAGAAUUAUUUCUGUAAAGAAAAGGUUCUUUUGUCUAGCAGGCAAAACCGGAAAUAAAAUGAAGACCCCGUAGAUCAUGGGUGUAUUAAAACUUUACACGUUCAGUUUAGGUUUUUGACACUUGGUUCGUUUUACAAAGUUCACAAAGUGUGUUUGUAAAUCUAGUCCGCAUGUAUAACGGACCGAAAAACGUCAAUGGAAGGACAGAUUUUAGAACCGCUUGAAAGCCGUCCUCUCUAGGAAGUGCUUUUCCAGGCUCUCACACCCGAUGACACUGUUUUAACCGGCAGAGACUCCACAAGCUGAGGCUGCGUGUCCCUUCCCCAGGGGGUGGGGUGAACGUCAACCCAGAAAGGCGCACACAGGGACAGUGGGACCCCCCAGGAGGGAGAAAUCAGAGGUAGGGACAUUGGGGGCGGGGGUUACAGAGUAAGCAGGAGCUGUUGACUUAAUCAUUUGUGUAUUCCCGACCUGAUUCCACAUAAAGCUUUAAAAUGAUUGACAGAUAUUCUGCAUGAAGGUAAAAUAAAGUCAGGGAGGAAAUAAGGUACAAGGAAAAGCAGGAGAAGAAACUAAAACAAAGCCAUGGGCAGGUUCGGGCCUAAAGCUGCUGCAGGUGAGUAACACGUUUGGCUCCAGACUCCUUGGUCCUAAGAACAGAACGGGGACACGAUCAGGUUGGCAGCUCUUAAUCAUCGUGUCCACGGAAUGAAAGCACAUCAGAUGCCCAGGAGACGCGCCACGUUCCUGGGGCCGAGGGCUGAGACGCAUUUCCCCACGACCCCUCCGCAAGGGUCUCUGAGUGGGCAGUGACAUGCUGUUCCAGUGUGGAUGCUUCUGAGGGGAGCAUGCCGGGCAGGAAACCGCGUUCUUGGCAGAGGGACCAGCGUGAACCCAGCUCCGUGUCUUUAUCAGGGUUCUUGGCAGGGAAGGGGUCUGCAGGCCAGUUCCCAUCAUGGUUCUUGGAGGGGGUGACCCAGUAUGGCAUCUGGGUACCUGUGGAUGCAGUCUGAGGGUGAAUGGCAUUGACGGGGGGACACAGGCAGACAAUGCUGGGGUGCGGAGACCUGCUUAGAGGUGGGACAAGGCCCUGGUCGGGGCUCCUCUGGCCCUGAAGUCAGAGGGUGGGAGACUCAGGAGGUGGAGCCUCAGUGGUGCAGGAAGCCCGAUUGGCUGGGCCGCCCCGGGCCUUGGCCCCCAGAGGCUGGCUGUCUUUAUAAAGACAUUGCAAGACUUUUUCUCGUAUGAAAUUUAAAAAAAAAAGCACAUACGCUGCAGGCUGUCAGGAAGCAAUGUGAGAAACCUGAGCUGCCCCACUGACAGAGCCUCAUAUUUUGGGGUUUUUGUCUGUUCUAUUUUUGAGGCUGGCAAACCGGUUUCCUGUUUGUUGCAAAAUGGGUGGUUGUCGCUGUCUGUGCCUGGCCUGGAGGGAGGCGCCUCCGCCAGCGGAGGCCCGUUUUCUCCCUCGAGUCAGUUCCCUUCUGUGCAGGGGCCAAAGAGGAACCCAGGAUGCCAGGGCAAGGAGCAGGGGCGCCCUGCCAGCCGCUUCCCGGGGGUGCCCGGGGCGGGGGCGUCGAAGUCACCACCCUCGGCGGGGCAGUGCCCCUCUCUGGGAAGACGAGCUCCAUGUCACAAGAGGGGACAUUUCUUACCCAAAGGUCAAAUUAGAGGCUCAGUAAGACCCGAGAGCGGGUCUCAGAGGAAAGAGCCGUCUGUGGAGGGGCGGGCGGGGAAGAAGAGCGAAAGCCCGGCAUUAAUUAGUCACUCGUACUCGGAGGCUCAUCCUUUUCACAACCUUCGCACCUGCCUUCCUCAUCUCUCUCUGAGUUGUUACCCAGGACUCCCAUUCCACAGACGAGGAGCCCGAGGCUCAGAAUCAUGCAGUGGCCUAGGGUUACUGUCUGCAUAAGCGACGCCUGCCUUACUCCUGCGUUUGCUCCCCAGGGCUGGCCUCUCAGGAGCCGGGGGUCUGACAUGCCGUGAAUGCAAGUUCGGCGUCCCCCCCCCCACUGCCGCCCCCUCUUCUUAUGGAAGCUCCGAGAGGCAGAAAAGCUUGUAGAAACUCCCAGAGCGAGUUCGUAGCCGAAUCAGAAAGUGAGUUUGCGGUGUCUAGUUUACUGGUUUCCCAACUGUCUUAGAUGCUUUCUAGCCUGGCAGAGAAAUCAUGCCAGUCUGGCCUGGCGCAGAGUGGGAACACCUAGCCAGGCAACCCGGGCAAGCCGGCUGUGGGGCUUACGUUGGGGAACGUCGCCUCUGUCUCAGCGUGGCUGGGUGGUGACGGGGCUCGGGGUCCCAGGGCUCUGUUUUUCCCUGUCCCCGUGCGCUCCGUCCUCCACAUGCCAGAGCCUGUGACUCCUCACUGCCUCUUGGGGUGAAGCAAGGACGGCCCUUCUCAGAGUACCAGUCGGCGUUACUAGCUGGUCGUUGCCUCCUGCUGUGCUUUCGCAAUCUCCCCCUGCACCCCUGGGGGCAGUACUGUAAGGAGAAGUGGAAUCUAUUUUCGCGUGUGUAUUUUCUCAAGCAACACAUGCUAAAACAGCAGCACCAGUUCUCGCAGGGGUCCUUACAUGCCCAAGGCUGGAAUCAGUACCGAGGGACGGUGUCAGGUCUUAGUAGGUGUUCUCAGAUGCUUCGUUUUCCAGAUGAACCCAACCCAGAGCGAGACGCAGGGUAGGACAGAAGCGCAGGAAAACCCAUCCGCCUAGAUGGCAUCACCUCGCGGGGCCUUGAGAGGGAGGAACAGAGACCGGCCUCGGGGGGGAGAAUUACCUGCUGUGUGUGUUGCGGGGCUGGGCUCUCUGACAGUGUCCCCUCCUUUGCGGCCCCUUCCCACUUCCUCCACCCUGGAUAACGUCCCCUCUUCCUUCCAGGCUUAGAACCGAGGGGAGGAGGCGCGCGCCUCCCCCACGUCCUGACACGGGCUUUGGUUGCCCUGCUUCUCCCCUGACCUGCCUUUAUCGCACCUGCUUUAAGUUCUUUGCGACUUUCUUUCACUCCGCUUGGCAAUUGCGGCUCCUUGAGGGUGAAGAUGCGCUGACGGCAGUUUGCUCCCCCGCUGCCAUGGCUCAGGGGCUGAUAGUCUGGGAGGUGGGGAGGCAGGGUGGUUCGGCUGGUAGGUCAUUAAUGCCUUCCUUGGUCUCGGGCUGGCACGUUACCGCAGGGGUGAGGAAGGCGCGUCCCAGCUCAGGCCCUUCCUCCUUCUGUGGACCCAUCACCUCUCUGUAUAGGAGCAGUCUUGUCACUCGGGUUCCUGACACCUCACUGCUUUGCAGGUUUCACGAAAGGGGCACCUGCCUUGCUUGUGCAUCUUCUUCCCCACGACCAGGCAUGUCUGUGUUCCCUCCUUCAUGCGGAGACUUCCUGCUGUUUUUGCAUCUAUGGCUGCCUAACAAACUCCCCUGAAACUCAGUAGCUCCGGACAGUAACUUAUUAUUUCUCACGGUUCUGGCCGGGCAGCUCUCUGCUGGGCUUGGCGGGGUUCGCUCCUGGAGCUGCAUUCAGCUCAUGGCAGGGCUGGGCUGGGAGCUCAAGGGAGCCUCCUCACUCCCACACGCCUAGAGUCUCAGGGCAGGCGGUGCUCCUCCGUGUGGCUCUCGAUUUCCAGGAGGCCAGACCUGGCUUCUUCCCAGAGGGAUGGUCUCAGGGUUCCCAGGGUGUGAAGCCCAAGCUGCUGGGCUUCCGAAGGCCUAGGCCAGAACUGACGCAGCAUCGCUUCUGCCUCGGUCUUUGAGUUAAAGCAAAAUUCGAGGCCAUCCGGAUUCGAGGGGAGGGGAAAUGGACCCACCCCGUGUUGAAAGGAGGGGGGAGUCCCGUUGCAAAGGUUCCGGGCCUGCUUAGCACUCCCUCCUGCUUCGUGUGCUUCGAAGAUAAAUUCCUCCUCUUGGAAACCUUUGUGAAAUGACUUCUCAGGCGGCAUUCUGAACAUGGCCUGGGCAAGUUCAGGGGUUGAUGCUCUGGCCCCGCCUGCCCCCGAAGCUCUAGAGGAGGCUGCUUGUGGAGUGGAGCUGGGGCUGCUGCUUCUGAGGGACGUGGGCAUCUACCUUCUUGACUGACACGAGCAGCAUCUCAGGGCACGUGGCUCCUGCGCUGCAGGAAGGGCUUCCUCAGGGUCUGAGUCACCGUGGCGGGUAGCUCCUCAGGCAUCACUCAAAUCAUGCUGAAUUUUCCCUGGAGUCCCUUGAGCGUUAAUCCCCGAUGAAAAUAGAACAGGUUUUUUGUUUUUUUUUUUUUUUGUUUGUUUGUUUGCCAUUUUCAACAUGUGUUGCUUUGACUAUAGAUGUUUUAAAAUUCUUCUACCUGGGUGUGGAGAGGUUAAGAUUUGGGGAGGGUUGCCUUUUUUCUUUUUUUAUGGCCACAUCUGUGGCAUAUGGAAGUUCCUGGGCUAGGAAUUGCAUCAGAGCUGCAGCUGCUGGCUCUUCCCAUGCCAUAACCAUAGCAACGCGGGAUCCAAGCCGCAUCUGCCACCUGUGCCACAGCGUAGAGACAUGCAGGAUCCUUCACCUGCUGACCAAGCCCAGGGAUCAAACCUGCGUCCUCAUGGAUACUAAUUGGGUUCUUAAUGCACCAAGCCACAAGGGGAACUCCCGAUUGUAAGCAACAGAACCUAAUUCUCACUACCUUUUUUAAAAAGAAGAAAAGUAUUAAAGGGGAAUGGGUGUCUCAGAGAACUGGUGAGAGGCUGAGGAGUUGGGUCUGAAGAGAGCAAGAAGCAAAACAAAGGAUCGGCAGGUUGUAAACACAUUUGUAGUCGAGGGUGGCGGGUUGCUAACAGGGAGCGGGCCGAGAGAGCUGCGGGAACAUCAAGGCCAGUAUGUCUGUGUUUAGCCUGGGGGAGCUGGGGACAUUUCGCAGAAUUGGCAGGGUCAACCUCAGAGGAUGGGUAGGGAAAAGCAUUUCAGGCUGGUGGAAUAGCAUAUGCAAAGGCACUGAAACUUGAAAUGAGAUGAUCUUGUUUAGGGACUCACAGGAAAAGUAUAAGAGGGAGGCAGAGAACGAGCCUGGAAUGGGAGGUGUAGCCCCAGACGAUGGAAGGCCUUGAGUGACUGUUGAGGAGUUGGCAUUGAAUCCUAUAGGCUGAACUGGGUUUCUGGAACUGUAGUGGCCAGAGAGAUGCUAGUAGAUGCCCCUCGAAUAAAGGAUUCCUCCAGCAUAAGUUUGGGAUGUGUCCAUUAUUAUGUAUUUCUCUCUUGGAUGAUCAUCAAGAUACUAAAGGCUCUGAGAAGUCCUGCAGUGGAAGUGGUGCCUCAGGUGAGAGAGAUGCCGGGUGCGCUCCGUCCUUGAGCUGGAAAGGAGGACGUCCCCCCUCCCUCCCUCCCUCAGCCCUACAGGGUACUGCACAAGCAAAGCACGGUAACUCUCUAGAAAGUGGUGUGGACAGAAGAGGGGGCUUGGGUGUAAACCCACUAGGAAGGGAUAUAACUCAUGUGGAAAGUGAGCUCUCUGACAAAUGCUAUUUGUUUGCUUUGGAUAAGCUCAGUAUUUUGAGAUUUGUUUCUCUGACACACCCUCAGUUCCCUUUGGCUUUUGCUGAAAAUGAUACAUUUUUCCAGACUUGUGACUUUGGCUGCCAUGGUCGACCAUCUCUGCAUGCUUGGUUCUAGAAGUGCAAAAUAUUUCCUCUCCUUCUGAGUGGUUCUCUUUAAUUGCAUUCUUUUUUCUGUGUGUCUUUCUAGGGCCGCUCCUGUGGCAAAUGGAGGCUCCUAGGCUAGGGGGUCGAAUUGGAGCUGCAGCCACCGGCCGACAUCACAGCCACAGCAAUGGCAGAUCCGAGCCGUGUCUGUGACCUACACCACUGCUCCCGGCAAUGCCGAAUCCUUAACCCACUGAGGGAGGCCAGGGAUGGAACCUGUGACCUCAUAGAUGCUAAUCACAUUCGUUUCCUCUGAGCCACGAUGGGAACUCCUCUUUUAUUUUAAAUGGAAAGAGAUAUGGAAGUAAAAAGUCCUCUUUCUUCCUGCUCCUUGGAAGAAAGGAAGGGAAAAGUUCCCCAGAGGAAUGAAUCUUGGGUAGAAAGACAGAACUGAAGCCAGAGCUACUGAGAUGGUCACAGGGAGCUGGUGCUUUGCUUUGCUUACUCUGAGGACCAAACCCUGUCACCUGUGGGCUUCCAGUGCAGAUCGUGACAUUGCAGGAGAGGGACAGUGCAAAUGAGCAGAGGAGCUGGAGCUGAACGAGGACCUUGUGCUGGGCUGGGAGACGCUCGCCCAGUCCUGGGCUUUGGUUGUGGGUCCUCCAUGUGUACUCAGGAGUAUUCUGAGAGACCUCCGCUGCAGGAGGACAUGGGUGUCCAGGUGACAAAGAAAGGGGCUCGUUUGAUGAUGACUGUCUUGCUGUGGCCACAUCCCUGUUCAAACCUGGCGGAAAAAACAGAGAGGAAGACUUUGUCAUCAGUUUCACAACAUGGCUUCUGGAAGGAUCAGCAAAGGACAAGAAAGACAAUGGCAGCCAACACAUACUAAGUGGCAGCUCUGGUGUGCCAGGAAAUUGUGGCUGGUGUGCCACACAUGCUCGUUGUCCUCCAUGCAACCCUCCGAAGUGUUUAUUAAUAUUCACUGUAAGGAAGAGUGUGGGAGAUGCUGCCUUUUAAAUAGUUUUCUUUUAUUAACUAUAAAAUGACAGGAGUUCCCAUCACGGCUCAGUGGUUAAUGAAUCCAACUAGGAACCACGAGGUUGCGGGUUCAAUCCCUGGCCUCGCUCAGUGGGUUAAAGAUCCAGUGUUGCUGUAGCUGUGGCAUAGGCCAGCGGCUACAGCUCCUAUUAGACCCCUAGCCUGGGAACCUCCAUGUGCCAAGGGUGCGGCCCUAGAAAGGGCAAAAAGACAAAAUAAAUACAUAAAUAAA
rnacentral:lncRNA from 1 species